UACGUAGGGGGCAAGCGUUGUCCGGAUUUAUUGGGCGUAAAGAGCGUGUAGGCGGCCAAACAGGUCAGCUGUGAAAACUCGAGGCUCAACCUCGAGACGUCGGUUGAAACCGUAUGGCUAGAGUCCGGAAGAGGAGAGUGGAAUUCCCGGUGUAGCGGUGAAAUGCGCAGAUAUCGGGAGGAACACCAGUAGCGAAGGCGGCACUCUGGGCCGGUACUGACGCUGAGGAGCGAAAGCGUGGGGAGCGAACAGG
rnacentral:rRNA from 1 species